rnacentral:lncRNA from 10 species
UGCACUCAAAUCCUAUAUUGAAUGUUAUCCCCAUUGAUGGAGGUGGGACUUGGUGGAAGGUGAUUGGCUCAUGGGGGUGAAUUUCUUAUGAGUAGUUUUGCACCAUCCCCCUUGGUACUGUCUUCACAACAGUGAGUGAAUUCUAAUGAGAUCUGGUCAUUUACAAGUGUGUAGCACCUUCCCCCUCUCAGUCUUGCUCCUGGUUUCAUCAUGUGAUGUGCCUGCUUCCUUUGUGCCUUCUGCCAUGGUUGGAAGUUUCCUGAGUCCUCCCCAGAAGCAGAUACUGCUAUGCUUUACAUACAGCCUGCAGAACCGUGAGCCAAUUAAACCUCUUUUUAAAAUAAAUUACCUAAUCUCAGGUAUUUAUUUAUAGCAAUGCAAGAACAACCUAACACACAUGCAAAUAAUUAUACACAGCAAACUCAUUAGAGUGGUUGCCUCUGAAGAGCGACAAAAAUCGGACUCAAGAAAAUAUUAUUAUGAUAAUGGAAAGACAAGCCAUAAUUGGAAGAAGAUGUUUCUAAGAUAUACAUCUAACAAGCAACCCAAGUUAAACUGGACAAAAGACUCAAAAAAAAUUCACAAAGGAAAAUAUCAAAAUGGCCACUAAAGAUGUGAAGGCAUACUCAUCAUUUGUUAUCAGAGAAAUGUGAAUUAAAAGCACAAUAAGAUACCACAACCCGCCCAUGAAAAUGGCUAACAUUAAGAUUGGAAACACAAAGUCAUGAUGAAGAUAUGAGCAAUGGGAACUCUUUUAUAUUGCUGAUAGAAGUAUAAAUCCAUAUAACAACUUCUGAAAAUUACUUGGCAGGACCUACUAAUCUAAAAUAUUAUGCAAUAAUUCCACUCCUGGGAAUAUACCCAACAAAAACAAGUGGUUUUAUUCACAUGUACAUGUACAAAAAUAUUCAUAAUACCUUUUUUUGUAGUAGGCCAAAACUUGAAACAACCAAAUGUUCAACAGCAGUAGAAUGUAUAAAUUAAUUGUCAUACGUUCAUAUAACAAAAUUCUAAACAAAAGUGAGAGAAAAAUGAAUCUCACAGACAUUCUGUUGAGCAAAAGCAGUCAGACACAAACUGUAUAAUGCCAUUUAUAUGAAGUUCAAAAAUAAGCAAAACUAACAUAUGAUAAAAGUCAGAAUAGUGGUUACCUUUAGAGGAAAAAUAAAGAUGACAUCAGGCUGAUGAGAAUGCUCUGUAAUUUGAUCAGGGUGGUUAUACACAUAUUUAUGUGAGAAAAGUCAUUGGGCUGUACAUUUAAGGUUUGUGCACUUAUGUAAGCUAUGCUGCUUUAUAUUUUAAAAAAAGAAAUAAUGUAUGGCUUUUCUCUUGGGGCAUUUAUAUGGCUACAUGACAUGUGUUUGGUAUAAUGACCUAACAUUCUAGCUCCAUUAGGCCUUAUUUUCCUUUUCAUCUUCUCUCUUACUUAUUUUUAAUCAUUUUAUUUUGCUAUUAUUUGCAUAAUAGCAUCUUCCUGAGCCAUCUCAAGUCCUAGUUAGAACAAUUUAUAAAUAAGUACAAAAAUAUCUGAAUAAAAGUUCAGGUGUUUAUAAAUUGGACAUCAGAAGACUUUGAAUCACGAGACUCAGAUUUCCUUUCUCAUUCUGACUACACUAAGAGUACAAUUUAUGGAGAAAUUACUUAAGAUAGUAUCUACUUGACAUGGUUGUUAAAGGAAUUGAAACAGCAUAGCUAAAAGUAUUUUUCAAAUUGGGGAGUGAUGUAAAAAUUACAUUUAAAAACAUCUAAUAUUAAUCUAGGAACACAAUCUCCAAUUAAACAAUAAAACUUUUAAAAAGUAUAUUUUUCAGAAGAAAAAAAACUGGUUCAAGGCUAUAAUUUGUCUUUCCUAAGAUUAUUUGUAAUUGUUUUAAAACAUACUUGGUAUCUAUGUUCAAAUUCUGUCCAGGUGAGCACCAACAUGAGUUUAUAUGCUUGAGAAAUGUCUGGUACACCCAGGAUCAACUUAUGUGAAGCUAUCAAAGGAGAGGAUCUAUAUGCCUGUCCAAAAUUAUUCCAGUCAUGCAAAAUAUUUUGUUAUUGAGACAUAAAUCUAUGAUAUACUAAGAAUCAAGUUAAGUUUGUGAAUUAAAUUCAGUAAAAUAAAAUUUAUGUUAGCCACUGUUUAGAUUGGAAAAUUAAAGAGAGAACAACCACUUGAGUCCAGAGUUUGAGGUUCCAGUGAGCUAUAAUCAUGCCACUGUACUCCAGCCCGUGCAACAGAGUGAGACUCUGUAUCAAACAAAAAAAAAGAAAGAGUGAGAUAAAUGUAAGAGCUGUUUUCAUUUCUCCUUGUGCAGAUAAGCUGUUUGUGGAGACACAAUAGAUGCUAUCAGAUCUUCCCAAAGGAGUUUCUGAAUACAGAUGUUCUGACUUUUAUGUAUAAGGGUAUCAGCUAUACCAGGUGAUUCUCUCAAGUUUCUUUCUAAUUUAACACAUUCUUCAACCCAUUCCAAAUAGCUUCUGCCCUCAGAUAUCCCAUUGAGAUUAUUCUCAUCAAGACAACCUGGGAUUCUCUUGUUGCUAGAUCCAACACACAUGUUGUAGUUUUAACUCAUCUCACCACUGAAUAUUACUCUCUCUUCUUCCCCACUGCCCUCCCCCCACACCAAAACAGAGUCUUACUCUGUUGUCCAGGCUGGAAUGCAGUAACACGAUCUUGGCCUCCACCUCCCGGGUUCAAGCAGUUCUCCUGCCUCAGCCUCACGAGUAGCUGGGACUAUAGGCACGCGCCACCAUGCCCGGCUAAUUUUUUGUAUUUUUAGUAGAGAUGGAGUUUCACCAUGUUGACCAGGCUGGUCUCGAACUCCCGACCUCGUGAUCCACCUGCCUCGGCCCCCAAAAGUGCUGGGAUUACAGGCGUGAGCCACAGUGCCCGGCCUACUCUCUCUUCUUAAAAACCUUCUUUCCUUUCCGUGACGUCACCCUCUCUUGGUUUUCCUCCUAUCUUUAGAAGCUGCUUCUUAGUGUCUUUUGUGAACUCUACUUUUGCCCAUCCUUUAAAAUUUGGUGGUGCUUAGGUUCUCCUCUGUGUCCCCUUUAUUCUGUCUCCCUAGGCAAUACCAUUCAGUCAUCUGAAUGCAAACACUGUAUAAUGACUAUCAAACCUCUAACUUCAGCCAUGAUCUCACUCCUGAGCUCAAAAUUCAUGUAACUCUCUACUUGACAUUCCCACGUAGGUUUCCUGUAGUGGCUUCAAAAUCAGUAUUAAGUAGAGUUUAUCAUCUCUCUUCCUAACCUGUUCCUGUGUUACUGAUCUCAGUGAGCACUUUGUCACCCAUAAAGUUGCUAACAUUGAGAAUUCUCUGUCAACAAUUUCUUUCAUGCAACAAGUCCUUUCAAAUUUAUUUGUUAACUAGCUCUACAAUCCAUUCAUUCCAUCUUACUUCUUUCAGCUGCAUAAUGCUUGUCUACAAUCAAUUAUACUCAAAACAGCAAAACCUAAUUAUUAUUCCUCGCUUAAUAUCCUUUAUCACUGCUAAAGACUUACAUUCCAUAAUUACCGUUAACGACUGCCAUCACGGUUCUUGAAGAGUUAUUUUUCAGAAAACUUUUUCUUAUCAGUAUAACAAUUUUUAUAACACAUUAAAUAAAUAUGCUAUAAACUAAUAUUUAGACAUUAAAGUUUCAGGCAAAGACUUGACAGAGAAAGAAAAAUUUGAUGUGAAAGCAGUAUUUGAAUGACAUCUUGUUUAUCACUUAUAGAAAUUUGUUUUCAUUGUUCAAGUGAUACAUAUUUUUUCUUAUGUAAAAAUUGUUUGUGUACAUUGAUUUGAGGUGGAACACAUAAUAACAUUUUUCAUUAGAAAUAAUGGAAGUUUUUGGCCGGGCACAGUGGCUCACGCCUGUAAUCCCAGCAUUUUGGGAGGCCGAGGUGGGCGGAUCACCCAAGGUCAGGAGUUCGAGACCAGCCUGACCAACAUGGAGAAACCCCGUUUCCACUAAAAAUACAACAUUAGCCGUUCGUGGUGGUGUGUGCCUGUAAUCCCAGCCACUCAGGAGACUGAGGCAGGAGAACUGCUUGAACCCAGGAGGCGGAGGUUGUGGUGAGCUGAGAUGAUGAGAUCAUGCCAUUGCACUCCAGCCUGGGCAACAAGAGCAAAACUCCAUCUCAAAAAAAAAAAGAAAAAAAGAAAAAGAAAAGAAAGAAAUAAUGGAAGUUUUUUCACUUAGCAGCAGGAUUUAUAAGAACAAAUGAAAGUCAUUAAGUGAGAGUAAAUUGUAUUCUCAUUGCUUUCAGGAUAAAUUCUAAGCUUCUUAACAUCACUUGAAAGAUACACAACCUAACUUCUGCUUCAUCUGACACCAAUCUCCAUUUCACAUUUUACCUUCCAGUCAUAUGGAGCUACAGAAAUCUUGCACCAACUCAGGAGCUGUGUUUCUUAAAAGCACGGGGGUUGGCAGAACUAAGGCUGGCAUGAUUGAGUUCUCACAUAUGAUAGAGGGUUCAGGGAAAACAUUAAAUAUAUAUGAAAUCUGUAUACCACUGCAAAGAGGUAUUUUAGAAAGCAUCUACUUCCAGAACAAACUGGGUCAAUACGUGACUAUUCUUCUGAAUCCUCUUCUUGAACUCUUCUUGAAAAAUUAUGGUGGUAUUAUGAGCUAGCAAGGCAGAAUAUUUUAAAUAUUUUGUUAUACCAACUACUUUCACUUACAGUUUACACAUCAGCCCUUAUUGGUUUUAAAUUGAAGUGGGUUACUCAUAAAUGUUGAUUUUAUAUAUCUGUGUCAUUCACCCUGUAUUUUGCUGAUUAAAAAAUUCUUCUUAACCUCAAUG